rnacentral:rRNA from 1 species
CGUAACAAGGUUUCCGUAGGUGAACCUGCGGAAGGAUCAUUACCGAGUGUAGGGUUCCUAGCGAGCCCAACCUCCCACCCGUGUUUACUGUACCUUAGUUGCUUCGGCGGGCCCGCCAUUCAUGGCCGCCGGGGGCUCUCAGCCCCGGGCCCGCGCCCGCCGGAGACACCACGAACUCUGUCUGAUCUAGUGAAGUCUGAGUUGAUUGUAUCGCAAUCAGUUAAAACUUUCAACAAUGGAUCUCUUGGUUCCGGCAUCGAUGAAGAACGCAGCGAAAUGCGAUAACUAGUGUGAAUUGCAGAAUUCCGUGAAUCAUCGAGUCUUUGAACGCACAUUGCGCCCCCUGGUAUUCCGGGGGGCAUGCCUGUCCGAGCGUCAUUGCUGCCCAUCAAGCACGGCUUGUGUGUUGGGUCGUCGUCCCCUCUCCGGGGGGGACGGGCCCCAAAGGCAGCGGCGGCACCGCGUCCGAUCCUCGAGCGUAUGGGGCUUUGUCACCCGCUCUGUAGGCCCGGCCGGCGCUUGCCGAACGCAAAUCAAUCUUUUCCAGGUUGACCUCGGAUCAGGUAGGGAUACCCGCUGAACUUAAGCAUAUCAAUA